UACGUAGGGGGCGAGCGUUGUCCGAAGUUACUGGGCGUAAAGCGCGCGUAGGCGGUCCUUUAAGUCUGAGGUGAAAGGUUCAGCGCUCAACGUGAACAGUGCCUUGGAGACUGGGGGACUUGAGGAUGAGAGAGGUGAGUGGAAUUCCCAGUGUAGAGGUGAAAUUCGUAGAUAUUGGGAAGAACACCGGUGGCGAAGGCGGCUCACUGGCUCAUAUCUGACGCUCAGGCGCGACAGCGUGGGGAUCAAACAGG
rnacentral:rRNA from 1 species